rnacentral:rRNA from 1 species
CAGUCGCCGCGGUAACACGAAGGGUGCAAGCGUUAAUCGGAAUUACUGGGCGUAAAGCGCACGUAGGCGGCUUGGUAAGUUAGAGGUGAGAGCCUGGAGCUCAACUCCAGAAUUGCCUUUAAGACUGCCGAGCUAGCAGGUGAGAGAGGUAAGUGGAAUUCCGAGUGUAGAGGUGAAAUUCGUAGAUAUUCGGAAGAACACCAGUGGCGAAGGCGGCUUACUGGCUCAUACUGGACGCUGAGGUGCGAAAGCGUGGGGAGCAAACAGGAUUAGAUACCCCCGUAGUCCCUGUCUCUUAUAC